UACGGAGGGGGCUAGCGUUGUUCGGAAUUACUGGGCGUAAAGCGCACGUAGGCGGCUUUGUAAGUUAGAGGUGAAAGCCCAGGGCUUAACCCUGGAAUUGCCUUUAAGACUGCAUCGCUAGAAUCGUGGAGAGGUGAGUGGAAUUCCGAGUGUAGAGGUGAAAUUCGUAGAUAUUCGGAAGAACACCAGUGGCGAAGGCGACUUACUGGACACGUAUUGACGCUGAGGUGCGAAAGCGUGGGGAGCAAACAGG
rnacentral:rRNA from 1 species